rnacentral:rRNA from 1 species
UGGGGAAUUUUGGACAAUGGGCGAAAGCCUGAUCCAGCAAUGCCGCGUGUGUGAAGAAGGCCUUCGGGUUGUAAAGCACUUUUGUCCGGAAAGAAAUCCUUGGCUCUAAUACAGUCGGGGGAUGACGGUACCGGAAGAAUAAGCACCGGCUAACUACGUGCCAGCAGCCGCGGUAAUACGUAGGGUGCAAGCGUUAAUCGGAAUUACUGGGCGUAAAGCGUGCGCAGGCGGUUUGCUAAGACCGAUGUGAAAUCCCCGGGCUCAACCUGGGAACUGCAUUGGUGACUGGCAGGCUAGAGUAUGGCAGAGGGGGGUAGAAUUCCACGUGUAGCAGUGAAAUGCGUAGAGAUGUGGAGGAAUACCGAUGGCGAAGGCAGCCCCCUGGGCCAAUACUGACGCUCAUGCACGAAAGCGUGGGGAGCAAACAGGAUUAGAUACCCUGGUAG